rnacentral:rRNA from 1 species
UAUGUAGGAUCCGAGCAUUAUCCGGAGUGACUGGGUGUAAAGAGUUGCGUAGGUGGCAUAGUAAGUAGGUAGUGAAAUCUGGUGGCUCAACCAUUCAGGCUAUUACCUAAACUGCUAGGCUCGAGACCGUUAGGGGUAACUGGAAUUUCUAGUGUAGGAGUGAAAUCCGUAGAUAUUAGAAAGAACACCGAUAGCGUAGGCAGGUUACCGGGACGGUUCUGACACUAAGGCACGAAAGCGUAGGGAGCAA